UACGAAGGGGGGCUAGCGUUGCUCGGAAUCACUGGGCGUAAAGGGUGCGUAGGCGGGUCUUUAAGUCAGGGGGUGAAAUCCUGGAGCUCAACUCCAGAACUGCCUUUGAUACUGAGGAUCUUGAGUUCGGGAGAGGUGAGUGGAACUGCGAGUGUAGAGGUGAAAUUCGUAGAUAUCGGGAGGAACACCUGUGGCGAAAGCGGCUCACUGGACCAUUACUGACGCUGAGGCACGAAAGCGUGGGGAGCAAACAGG
rnacentral:rRNA from 1 species